rnacentral:tRNA from 1 species
GCCCGAGUGGUGAAAUUGGUAGACGCAGGGGACUCAAAAUCCUCCGCCGCAAGGCGUGCCGGUUCGAUUCCGGCCUCGGGCACCA